rnacentral:rRNA from 1 species
GAGUUUGAUCUUGGCUCAGAUUGAACGCUGGCGGCAUGCCUUACACAUGCAAGUCGAACGGCAGCAUGAUCUAGCUUGCUAGAUUGAUGGCGAGUGGCGAACGGGUGAGUAAUACAUCGGAACGUGCCCUGUAGUGGGGGAUAACUAGUCGAAAGAUUAGCUAAUACCGCAUACGACCUGAGGGUGAAAGUGGGGGACCGCAAGGCCUCAUGCUAUAGGAGCGGCCGAUGUCUGAUUAGCUAGUUGGUGGGGUAAAGGCCCACCAAGGCGACGAUCAGUAGCUGGUCUGAGAGGACGAUCAGCCACACUGGGACUGAGACACGGCCCAGACUCCUACGGGAGGCAGCAGUGGGGAAUUUUGGACAAUGGGCGAAAGCCUGAUCCAGCAAUGCCGCGUGUGUG